AUGGAGGCGGUGGAAGACGCCACAACCCUGGAGGCCGCCAUUGGGUGGCUUGCAGACACCAUCCUUGCAAAUCUCCCAGACGGCGGCAAGCUGGAUUCUUGGAUACGGCAAGCUGGCCUCGGCAACGACAUCGGGAAGCUCAAGGCCGAGGUCGAGGCGGUGGAGAUGGUGAGUUCUGCUGUGCAGGGGAGGGCGGCCGGGAACAAGCCGCUGGCCCGAUCCCUCGCAGCCGUCAAGGAGCUGCUCUACGAUGCCGACGAUGCCGUCGACGAGCUGGACUGUUACAGGCUCCAGCAGCACCAGCUCCAGCCAGGUAAUUUUGGGUUGCGGCAAUAA
rnacentral:rRNA from 1 species